UGGGGAAUCUUGGACAAUGGGGGCAACCCUGAUCCAGCCAUGCCGCGUGAGUGAUGAAGGCCUUAGGGUCGUAAAGCUCUUUCGCCUGUGAAGAUAAUGACGGUAGCCGGAGAAGAAGCCCCGGCUAACUCCGUGCCAGCAGCCGCGGUAAUACGGAGGGGGCUAGCGUUGUUCGGAAUUACUGGGCGUAAAGCGCACGUAGGCGGACCAGAAAGUUGGGGGUGAAAUCCCGGGGGCUCAACCCCGGAACUGCCUCCAAAACUAUUGGUCUAGAGUUCGAGAGAGGUGAGUGGAAUUCCAAGUGUAGAGGUGAAAUUCGUAGAUAUUUGGAGGAACACCAGUGGCGAAGGCGGCUCACUGGCUCGAUACUGACGCUGAGGUGCGAAAGUGUGGGGAGCAAAACAGGAUUAGAUACCCUGGUAGUCCACACCGUAAAACGAUGAAUGCCAGUCGUCGGGUAGCAUGCUAUUCGGUGACACACCUAACGGAUUAAGCAUUCCGCCUGGGGAG
rnacentral:rRNA from 1 species